GUUAAAAAGCUCGUAGUCGGAUUUUGGCUGAGAACGGUCGGUCCGCCGUUAGGUGUGCACUGACUGGUCUCAGCUUCCUGGUGAGGAGGUGUGCUUCAUCGCCACUUAGUCACCGUGGUUACUUUGGAAAAAUUAGAGUGUUCAAAGCGGGCUUACGCUUGAAUAUAUUAGCAUGGAAUAACACCAUAGGACUCCUGUCCUAUUUCGUUGGUCUCGGGACGGGAGUAAUGAUUAAGAGGAACAGUUGGGGGCAUUCGUAUUUCAUUGUCAGAGGUGAAAUCCUUGGAUUUAUGAAAGACGAACUUCUGCGAAAGCAUUUGCCAAGGAUGUUUUCAUUGAUCAAGAACGAAAGUUGGGGGCUCGAAGAUGAUUAGAUACCAUCCUAGUCUCAACCAUAAACGAUGCCGACUAGGGAUCGGCGGAUGUUAAUUGAUGACUUCGCCAGCACCUUAUGAGAAAUCAAAGUUUUUGGGUUCCGGGGGGAGUAUGGUCGCAAGGCUGAAACUUAAAGGAAUUGACGGAAGGGCACCACCAGGCGUGGAGCCUGCGGCUUAAUUUGACUCACCACGGGGGAAACUUACCAGGUCCAGACAUUAGUAAGGAUUGACAGAUUGAGAGCUCUUCCUUGAUUCUAUGGGGUGGUGGUGCAUGGCCG
rnacentral:rRNA from 1 species